AAUGUUAAAUAUGGGAAGUUUACUUUCUGUAUUACAGCUAACGCGUUAAACAUUCCGCCUGGGGACUACGGUCGCAAGAUUAAAACUCAAAGGAAUUGACGGGGACCCGCACAAGCGGUGGAGCAUGUGGUUUAAUUCGAUGCAACGCGAAAAACCUUACCACUUCUUGACAUGGAAAUCAUACCUAUUCGAAGGGAUAGGGUCGGUUCGGCCGGAUUUUACACAAGUGUUGCAUGGCUGUCGUCAGCUCGUGUUGUGAAAUGUUGGGUUAAGUCCCGCAACGAGCGCAACCCUCAUCCUUAGUUGCUAUCAGGUAAUGCUGAGUACUUUAAGGAAACUGCCAGUGAUAAGCUGGAGGAAGGUGGGGAUGAUGUCAAGUCAUCAUGGCCUUUAUGGAGUGGGCUACACACGUGCUACAAUGGUGUCUACAAUGGGCUGCAAGGUGCGCAAGCCUAAGCUAAUCCCUAAAAGACAUCUCAGUUCGGAUUGUACUCUGCAACUCGAGUACAUGAAGUUGGAAUCGCUAGUAAUCGUGGAUCAGCAUGCCACGGUGAAUACGUUCUCGGGUCUUGUACACACUGCCCGUCACGCCAUGGGAAUUGGUUUCACUCGAAGCUAAUGGCCUAACCGCAAGGAAGGAGUUAUUUAAAGUGGGAUCAGUGACUGGGGUGAAGUCGUAACAAGGUAGCAGUAGGGGAAUCUGCAGCUG
rnacentral:rRNA from 1 species